rnacentral:tRNA from 1 species
CGGGGCGUGGCGCAGCUUGGUAGCGCGUGUCGUUCGGGACGACAAGGCCGGAGGUUCAAAUCCUCUCGCCCCGACCA